rnacentral:lncRNA from 1 species
GAGGAAGGCAGCCCUGGCGGGCCCAGUAAUUCCUGGCCGGGUGGACCUGGCCAGGGGCUGGUUUCAGUGAAGGCACUCACUCCCACCCCAGGCCCCAGUUCCUGGCCAGCUCUUGACAGAAGGAGAGGCUGGACUUUGGAAGGUGGGUGUGAGUGCCUUCAAUGAAACUGAUCCCUGCUACCCAGUCACCAGUGUGACAAGCUUUUGCUGUGUUGGGCACUUGCUCCCAUCUGCUUUCUUCUCUAGAAUCCACUGCCCUAGAAUGAGUAAUUUUUCUUAGAAGCAGAGUUGGAACCACUGAGGAAGCACAGUCAUCUGAUUCAUCCUGGUAGCAAUUCCAUUCUGCAUCUCCUCUGGACACCCACAGGACCACCAGAACAACACCAUCAUGGCCCUGUCACCAGGCCCAGUUUGGCUCCAUGAUAACCAAGACGCAGGUCCAGAGACAACCGCCCUGCUUGAUGCCUGCAUCUGACCUCCCUUGGUGGGUAGUGAUGAGCACAACAUGGAAGAAGCCAGGGCAGCUUGUGGCCAGCUGCCCUACAGCCCCAGAUGGCUGGGGACAAGGAUUCCAAAAGGAUGAUUUUAGAGCUGUAGGAUUGAAUGACUGGCCUGCUGGGUUUUGGAUGUUCAUGUAUCCUAUGAGUCCCAUCGGUGUUUGUUUUUCUUUCAGGCAAUUUUUCUUCUAUUGGCUGGGAAUGCUUACCCAUUGCCUGUACAAUCAUUGUACCUUGGAAGUAGUUAACUUGCUUUAUAAUUCAGAGGCUCAUGGGCAGAAGGGACUGUAUCCUUGUCCCAGAUAAAACUUUGGGCUUUGGACAUUUGCUGGAAUGAGUUAAGAUUUGGGGGACUGUAGGGAAGUCAUCAUUGUAUUUUGCAACGUGAGAAAGACAUAUGAGAUUUGCAUGGGCAGGGACAGAAUAAUAUGACUUGGCUCUGUGUCCCACUGCUGUGAAAUUGUAACGGGAAAUGUUAAAGGUGGUGGGGGCUGGUGGAAGGUGAUUUAAUCAUGGUGGAGAGUGGAG